rnacentral:rRNA from 1 species
CUAUGCGCCUUCGCCACGCCCGACCUCAGAAACUACAAUGAAGUGACGGGGCCCGCACAAGCGGAGGAGCAUGUGGUUUAAUUCGAUGAUACGCGAGGAACCUUACCUGGGCUCGAACGUAAGAUGACUGUAGGUGAAAGCUUACAUCUCUUCGGAGCAUUUUACGAGGUGCUGCAUGGUUGUCGUCAGCUCGUGCCGUGAGGUGUCGGGUUAAGUCCCAUAACGAGCGCAACCCUUGUCCUUAGUUACCAGCACGUUAUGGUGGGGACUCGUAAGAGACUGCCGGGGUCAACUCGGAGGAAGGUGGGGACGACGUCAAGUCAUCAUGCCCUUUACGGCCUGGGCUACACACGUGCUACAAUGGUCGGUACAAAGGGUUGCCAAGCCGCGAGGUGGAGCUAAUCCCAUAAAACCGAUCGUAGUCCGGAUCGCAGUCUGCAACUCGACUGCGUGAAGUCGGAAUCGCUAGUAAUCGUGAAUCAGAAUGUCACGGUGAAUACGUUCCCGGGCCUU